rnacentral:rRNA from 1 species
AAUGAACGUUGGCGGCGUGGAUUAGGCAUGCAAGUCGUGCGGCAGCAGGCCCCGCAAGGGGCGCUGGCGAGCGGCGAAAGGGAUAGUAAUGUGUGGAUACCUGCCCUGGGGACGGGGAUAGCUGCUGGAAACGGCAAUUAAUACCCGAUGAUGUCUCCGGACCAAAGGUGUGAUUCCGCCCUAGGAGGGGUCCACAUCCUAUUAGCUAGUUGGUGAGGUAACGGCUCACCAAGGCCACGAUGGGUAGCGGGUGUGAGAGCACGACCCGCAUCACUGGGACUGAGACACUGCCCAGACACCUACGGGUGGCUGCAGUCGAGGAUCUUCGGCAAUGAGCGAAAGCUUGACCGAGCGACGCCGCGUGCGGGAUGAAGGCCUUCGGGUUGUAAACCGCUUUCGGAGGGGAGGAAAUCUAGGGGGAUCACCCUUCUAGUUGACCUAUCCUAGGAAGAAGGACGGGCUAAGUUCGUGCCAGCAGCCGCCGUAACAC